AAGAUCUUUCAUAAUGUCUUCUGAGAAUCCUGGCCAAUGAAGACAUCUAAAGUCCUUUAUGUCAAUGAUGCAAAUACCUCUGGGAGGGAGAUUCCAAAGGUCUUACAGGAGUAUACGGUUACUUCAUUGAGAAUCUAAAACUGCCAGUGAGGGCGUCUCAGUUGGAUUUUGGUGAACCUCCAGAAUUAUUGAAUGUCAGCACCUGAGAUCACACAGCUGGUUUUCAGUCCAAGAACUUCCCAAGUGACUGCAGCCAUCUCGUGCUCUGUGAGGGCAGUCCUGGGUCUAUCUCAUUUACUGUUGAGUCACCAAUGCCCAUCAACACUUGAUGAAGGAAUUAACAAAAUGCCCACUCAUGUGCCAGGCUCUGUGAAGGAUGAAGAGGAACCCACCAUACCCAACAAUAAAGAAACUCACAGAGAAAUUAAUCAUUCUGUCAUUAUUAUGGAUUUUCCAGUUUCCCUCUGUAGUUCUAUGGUUUAGCUAUCACUUUCCUAUCAUCCCCAAACAAGCAACCUCUAGUGUACUUUAUGUACCUAUAGAUUGACCUUUCCGAACAUUUCAUAUAAAUGGAAUCAUGUAAUAUGUGAUCUUUUGUGAUUGCCUUCUUUCACUUAUCAUGUUUUUAUGUUCAGCCAUACAAAGCACAUAUAAGCACUUUAUUCCUUGCUAUGGAUCAAUAAUAUUCCAAUAAAUAGAUCUAUCAUAUUUUGUUUAUA